AGGAUGAACGCUGGCGGCGUGCUUAACACAUGCAAGUCGAACGAUGAAGGCUGGAGCUUGCUCUGGCUGGAUUAGUGGCGAACGGGUGAGUAACACGUGAGUAACCUGCCCCAGACUCUGGGAUAAGCGCUGGAAACGGCGUCUAAUACCGGAUACGAGCUUCCACCGCAUGGUGAGGAGCUGGAAAGAAUUUCGGUCUGGGAUGGACUCGCGGCCUAUCAGCUUGUUGGUGAGGUAAUGGCUCACAAGGCGACGACGGGUAGCCGGCCUG
rnacentral:rRNA from 1 species